AAACCAACAGGGAUUGCCCCAGUAGCGGCGAGUGAAGCGGCAAGAGCUCAGAUUUGGAAUCGUGUUUCGGCACGAGUUGUAAAUUGCAGGUUGGAGUCUUUGUGGAAGCGCGUGUCCAAGUCCCUUGGAACAGGGCGCCAUUGAGGGUGAGAGCCCGUGGGAUGCGCGCGGAAGCAGCAAGGCCCUUCUGACGAGUCGAGUUGUUUGGGAAUGCAGCUCUAAGCGGGUGGUAAAUUCCAUCUAAGGCUAAAUACUGGCGAGAGACCGAUAGCGAACAAGUACUGUGAAGGAAAGAUGAAAAGCACUUUGAAAAGAGAGUGAAACAGCACGUGAAAUUGUUGAAAGGGAAGGGUAUUGGGCCCGACAUGGGGAUUGCGCAUCUCUGCUCCUUGUGGGCGGGGCGCUGUGCUUUUCCUGGGCCAGCAUCGGUUUUUGCCGCAGGAGAAGGGGUACUGGAAUGUGGCUCCUCGGAGUGUUAUAGCCAGUGCCAGAUGCUGCGUGCGGGGACCGAGGGCUGCGACAUCUGUCUCGGGAUGCUGGCACAACGGCGCAAUACCGC
rnacentral:rRNA from 1 species